rnacentral:rRNA from 1 species
AACGAACGCUGGCGGCAUGCCUAACACAUGCAAGUCGAACGAUCCCUUCGGGGAUAGUGGCGCACGGGUGCGUAACGCGUGGGAACCUGCCUUUAGGUUCGGAAUAACUCAGAGAAAUUUGAGCUAAUACCGGAUAAUGUCUUCGGACCAAAGAUUUAUCGCCUUUAGAUGGGCCCGCGUUGGAUUAGCUAGUUGGUGGGGUAAAGGCCUACCAAGGCGACGAUCCAUAGCUGGUCUUAGAGGAUGAUCAGCCACACUGGGACUGAGACACGGCCCAGACUCCUACGGGAGGCAGCAGUGGGGAAUAUUGGACAAUGGGCGAAAGCCUGAUCCAGCAAUGCCGCGUGAGUGAUGAAGGCCCUAGGGUUGUAAAGCUCUUUUACCCGGGAUGAUAAUGACAGUACCGGGAGAAUAAGCUCCGGCUAACUCCGUG